rnacentral:rRNA from 1 species
AUUGAACGCUGGCGGCAUGCCUUACACAUGCAAGUCGAACGGUAGAGGGGGCAACCCCUCGAGAGUGGCGAACGGGUGAGUAAAGCAUCGGAACGUGCCCAGUAGUGGGGGAUAGCCCGGCGAAAGCCGGAUUAAUACCGCAUGAGACCUACGGGUGAAAGGGGGGGAUCGCAAGACCUCUCGCUAUUGGAGCGGCCGAUGUCAGAUUAGGUAGUUGGUGGGGUAAAGGCCUACCAAGCCGACGAUCUGUAGCUGGUCUGAGAGGACGACCAGCCAAACGGGGACUGAGACACGGCCCAGACUCCUACGGGAGGCAGCAGUGGGGAAUUUUGGACAAUGGGCGCAAGCCUGAUCCAGCCAUGCCGCGUGCGGGAAGAAGGCCUUCGGGUUGUAAACCGCUUUUGUCAGGGAAGAAAUCCUUUGAGCUAAUACCUCGGGGGGAUGACGGUACCUGAAGAAUAAGCACCGGCUAACUACGUGCCAGCCGCCGCAGUAAGAC